rnacentral:rRNA from 1 species
UACGAGGGGGGCGAGCGUUGUUCGGAAUUAUUGGGCGUAAAGGGUGCGUAGGCGGUUUGGUAAGUCUGGUGUGAAAUCUACAGGCUCAACUUGUAGUCUGCACGAGAAACUGCCGGGCUUGAGUGUGGGAGAGGUGAGUGGAAUUCCUGGUGUAGCGGUGGAAUGCGCAGAUAUCAGGAAGAACACCGAUGGCGAAGGCAGUUCUCUGGGCCGUAACUGACGCUGAGGAGCGAAAGCGUGGGGAGCGAACAGG